CUGGAGACAGGUGCUGCAUGGCUGUCGUCAGCUCGUGUCGUGAGAUGUUGGGUUAAGGUCCCGCAACGAGCGCAACCCUUGCCUUUAGUUGCCAGCAGUUCGGCUGGGCACUCUAAAGGGACUGCCGGUGUUAAACCGGAGGAAGGUGGGGAUGACGUCAAGUCCUCAUGGCCUUUAUGACCAGGGCUACACACGUACUACAAUGGCCGAUACAAAGGGCAGCGACACUGCGAGGUGAAGCCAAUCCCGUAAAAUCGGUCUCAGUCCGGAUUGGAGUCUGCAACUCGACUCCAUGAAGUUGGAAUCGCUAGUAAUCGUGGAUCAGCAUGCCACGGUGAAUACGUUCCCGGGCCUU
rnacentral:rRNA from 1 species